rnacentral:rRNA from 1 species
GAUGAACGCUGGCGGCGUGCCUAAUACAUGCAAGUCGAGCGAACGGACGAGAAGCUUGCUUCUCUGAUGUUAGCGGCGGACGGGAGAGUAACACGUGGAUAACCUACCUAUAAGACUGGGAUAACUUCGGGAAACCGGAGCUAAUACCGGAUAAUCUUUUGAACCGCAUGGUUCAAAAGUGAAAGACGGUCUUGCUGUCACUUAUAGAUGGAUCCGCGCUGCAUUAGCUAGUUGGUAAGGUAACGGCUUACCAAGGCAACGAUGCAUAGCCGACCUGAGAGGGUGAUAGGCCACACUGGAACUGAGACACGGUCCAGACUCCUACGGGAGGCAGCAGUAGGGAAUCUUCCGCAAUGGGCGAAAGCCUGACGGAGCAACGCCGCGUGAGUGAUGAAGGUCUUCGGAUCGUAAAACUCUGUUAUUAGGGAAGAACAUAUGUGUAAGUAACUGUGCACAUCUUGACGGUACCUAAUCAGAAAGCCACGGCUAACUACGUG